UACGUAGGGUGCGAGCGUUGUCCGGAAUUAUUGGGCGUAAAGAGCUUGUAGGCGGUCUGUCGCGUCUGCUGUGAAAACUCGAGGCUCAACCUCGAGCUGUCGGUGGAAACUGUCUGGCUAGAGUCCGGAAGAGGAGAGUGGAAUUCCUGGUGUAGCGGUGAAAUGCGCAGAUAUCAGGAAGAACACCUAUGGCGAAGGCAGCU
rnacentral:rRNA from 1 species